rnacentral:ribozyme from 1 species
AGCAAUACCUCGCUGAUAGGGGAGUGAAUCCGAAGCCUCUAGAAGGUUAUCAUAGGCUCUCAACCUCCUACACCUACUCAAUACGUCCCCGUCGUACAGAACGGUAACAUGUCUCUCAAUUAACCUAGCUUGGGUAUACGGGGAAACCCAACACCUUGGGCGGAUGAGUCGCAUGUAGUGUUGGGU